rnacentral:rRNA from 1 species
UACGUAGGUGGCGAGCGUUAUCCGGAAUUAUUGGGCGUAAAGAGCGCGCAGGUGGUUGAUUAAGUCUGAUGUGAAAGCCCACGGCUUAACCGUGGAGGGUCAUUGGAAACUGGUCGACUUGAGUACAGAAGAGGGAAGUGGAAUUCCAUGUGUAGCGGUGAAAUGCGUAGAGAUAUGGAGGAACACCAGUGGCGAAAGCGGCUUCCUGGUCUGUAACUGACACUGAGGCGCGAAAGCGUGGGGAGCAAACAGGAUUAGAUACCCU